rnacentral:rRNA from 1 species
UGGGGAAUAUUGCACAAUGGGCGCAAGCCUGAUGCAGCCAUGCCGCGUGUAUGAAGAAGGCCUUCGGGUUGUAAAGUACUUUCAGCGGGGAGGAAGGGAGUAAAGUUAAUACCUUUGCUCAUUGACGUUACCCGCAGAAGAAGCACCGGCUAACUACGUGCCAGCAGCCGCGGUAAUACGUAGGUGGCAAGCGUUGUCCGGAUUUAUUGGGCGUAAAGCGAGCGCAGGCGGUUUCUUAAGUCUGAUGUGAAAGCCCCCGGCUCAACCGGGGAGGGUCAUUGGAAACUGGGAGACUUGAGUGCAGAAGAGGGGAGUGGAAUUCCAUGUGUAGCGGUGAAAUGCGUAGAUAUAUGGAGGAAAACCAGUGGCGAAGGCGGCUCUCUGGUCUGUAACUGACGCUGAGGCUCGAAAGCGUGGGGAGCAAACAGG